rnacentral:rRNA from 1 species
UACGUAGGGUGCGAGCGUUAAUCGGAAUUACUAGGCGUAAAGCGUGCGCAGGCGGUCUGUUAAGACCGAUGUGAAAUCCCCGGGCUUAACCUGGGAACUGCAUUGGUGACUGGCAGGCUUUGAGUGUGGCAGAGGGAGGUAGAAUUCCACGUGUAGCAGUGAAAUGCGUAGAGAUGUGGAGGAAUACCGAUGGCGAAGGCAGCCUCCUGGGCCAACACUGACGCUCAUGCACGAAAGCGUGGGGAGCAAACAGG